rnacentral:rRNA from 1 species
CUCCUACGGGAGGCAGCAGUGGGGAAUAUUGGGCAAUGGGGGAAACCCUGACCCAGCAACGCCGCGUGAAGGAAGAAGGCCUUCGGGUUGUAAACUUCUUUUAGCAGGGACGAAGAACGU